rnacentral:lncRNA from 1 species
ACCUUGGUAAGCGACGCGGACUGGAGGGCGACGGCGAGGGGAGGAGGGAGGGGACGUUUUGGAUGGAGGAAGGGGAUUUGAAGGGGAUAAGGAAAACAGGUGUUCAAGAGUGGAUAUCGUGAGGUUUUGAUUUAUAAUUGAUUCCAAUUCCUCAGAGGUGAGAUGGAACGGAGAGGAGAUUUGAGGCGGAGCAUCGACUCUGAUCGGGUCGCUUCUGCUUUUGUUCUUGAUUGAGAUAUGGUGAUGGGUUAAAGUUC